GCGCUGAUAAAUAUGUAGUUUUACUGGUUUAUCGCCGAAAAUACCUUCGAGUAAAUUGUGAAGUAAUUCUACAGCAUAUAGGAAGACUGACCUUAAAAAUCCCCUUAAAAGUUUACAAGGUCCCGUGGUGAGUGAAGAUUGGAAUUUAUUUUAAGCUCUAAUGUAUUGAGGACUAAAGUGGACCAUUUUAUUUUAAGCUCUAAUGUAUUGAGGACUAAAUUGGACCAUUUUAUUUUAAGCUCUAAUGUAUUGAGGUCUAAACUGGACCAUUUUAUUUUAAGCUCUAAUGUAUUGAGGACUAAAUUGGACCAUUUUAUUUUAAGCUCUAAUGUAGAGUCAAUAGGUUUAUUUCGAGAAUGAAGCAUGAAAAAUGAGCAAUGUCCUCACCCGGAUUCGAGCUUCAGACCACACGCUUGCCAGCCUUAUGUACUUCCAAUUACACUAUCGAGGCGCAUGAAGAAAAAAAAUAUUUUAUAGAGGAGCAGAGGAACCAGUCGUCAAAAUAAGGGUGGUGAAGAAUUAUCGUCGACUACAUUUUAGUUCGGAUAGAGCAGUAGAAUUACUAUAGAAAUUUUUGAACAAGGGAAAUCGCAGAAAUCUGCAGUGGGUUCCGGGAUUCGAACUCUGAACCUCCUGAUUGCUAGACGGCCGUGCUUCCGUUUACGCCACAAAAGCAAGGCGAUUUCAUUUCCUAUACACUCAGAAAGAAAAAAGCGAAAGCGAUAAUCUUUCAACGGAGCCAACCCUUCCGCUACUGAAUAGUGGGAUGCAUCAACCAAUAGGAUUGAGCAAAACAAACGCUCCUCUUUUGGAUAGUGGAGUAACGGCAAUGUUGGUUGGAGCACGAAGCUCUAGAUUAAAAAUCUCAAGCAUUGGCGUUGUACGCAUAGCUACGAACUGUCUUUUCAUCCACAACGUGGGAAAGAGUAGAACGUAAAAUAAUUGCGAUGGCAAGUACUGUAGCUAAAAUUUCUCGUUCCGUCCUAAAAACCUCAGCUGACAACAUCAAGACAAGAGCAGCUGCUACUAAAUUGCAGAAACGGCAAUGAAUGAAUAGAGAUCAGAGAUCUCUAUCUAAGCCAUUUGCUGGAUGUCUCACAAGUUAAAAGCAUAAAUGUGCAUAUGAAAAUUUCACAUGGUGUUUCAGAAUUCAUUACUUUUGAACAUCAUAUUGAAUUUUGACUAGCAUUCAAGCCUUAAGGAAUAAAUACUUUUUCAUUGUUUUAAU